rnacentral:rRNA from 1 species
GACAUCCAGAGAACUUGGCAGAGAUGCCUCGGUGCCUUCGGGAACUCUGAGACAGGUGCUGCAUGGCUGUCGUCAGCUCGUGUUGUGAAAUGUUGGGUUAAGUCCCGCAACGAGCGCAACCCCCUAUCCUUUGUUGCCAGCGAUUCGGUCGGGAACUCAAAGGAGACUGCCGGUGAUAAACCGGAGGAAGGUGGGGAUGACGUCAAGUCAUCAUGGCCCUUACGAGUAGGGCUACACACGUGCUACAGUGGCGUAUACAAAGAGAAGCGACCUCGCGAGAGCAAGCGGACCUCAUAAAGUACGUCGUAGUCCGGAUUGGAGUCUGCAACUCGACUCCAUGAAGUCGGAAUCGCUAGUAAUCGUAGAUCAGAAUGCUACGGUGAAUACGUUCCCGGGCCUUGUACACACCGCCCGUCACACCAUGGGAGUGGGUUGCAAAAGAAGUAGAUAGCUUAACCUUCGGGAGGGCGUUUACCACUUUGUGAUUCAUGACUGGGGUGAAGUCGUAACAAGGUAGGCGUAGCGAG